rnacentral:lncRNA from 1 species
GGGUGCCCUCGCUAAGGAGAUUGCGGCGGACCCGGAAGUGCUUGGCCACAGUCGCAGCCCCGGCGCCCCGAAGCGGGAAAAAGGCUGGGUGCCGCCGUCCCCCAGCUGCGCAACCCUAGGAACUCUCGGCAAAAAAAAAGAGCAUGAGGAAUUUGAAGACUGAGAGAUGAGUUGUGUAGCACCAACAUUUUCUUUCUGCCUGACCUUCAUACCUGAUGAAUUAAAAGCAUAGGAUGUUUGGAAGAGUGAGAUAGGGGACACAUUGAAAACAGAGAGGCAAUCUGAAGGCUACCUUGACGCAUCUGCAAAGCUCCCAGAUUCUGACUUUCACAAGACUUGCUUUCUGUUUCUGGGCCUCGCCUAAACAGACUGCCAGUCAUCCGAACCGUGGCAGGAUGGAGAUGUUUGUGUAAGGUAGACUCAAGUUUGCAAGACUCAAGAAGGAAACCACCAAACUAAUUUUACUUUCACUUAAACCAGAUUGAAACCAAGACUUGAAGAAUUAAAAACUUUGACAUUAACCAUUGAUUCACUCCAAUGAAAUAAUUGUGUUAUAGCCAGAAUCAUGGUGAAAUUGGAACAAGGCUUUUGAUGGGAUUUUUAAUUGAGGGACUUAUAUUAAAUUGGAUAUUUUCUUUAAUGAACAGCAUGUGGCCAAAAUUCUAUUUUCAUUAAAGUAUAUUAAGCAUCAUGACAACUCAUAUUAAACCUGCAACAAAUGAUUAAUGACAUUUAGAGACUUCAAAUGUCAUGAGACACCUUAAAUAUUAAGAAUCAAAAAGAACACCUCAAAGUUGUUUCUAUUCUUAGUAAUUAUGCUUAAAAAAACAUCUUUCCUUGCUUUGAAAGCCAGUUGCUAAAAAUAAAAACUGUUCCAUGAAAAAUCACAAUGCCCAAUGAUAAAUUUAUGUAUUUGUUUUUUAAAGGGGGAGGAUGGUGAGAAAAAUAGAAAGCUCCUGGCUGACAUCAGAGGUCACAAGAUGAGUUCCUCAUUUGUCCAAAUGACAUUCAGCUGCUAAAAGAAGUCAGACUUUUAGAGGGCUGUUGAAAAGACAGUAAGUCAGGAGGUUUUCAGUACAUGACUGCAGGGGAAUCAGACACAGGCUAGUCACUUAAGUUGCUUAAUUGUCCGUGUACCCUUAGCCCACGACUUCAGGGCUCAGCAGCUUCAUCCUUCAUGGCACCAAACCUUGACGUAAGGGAUUCAAAGACACACUCAUAAGAAUCGUGAAUUUGUCCUCAUGCAAAAUUUGGGGGACUGGCUACAAAACCGAAACAAGGAGAUCGUAUCCCUAAGUGAAAGGGACUUUAUAUUAAUUGUCAGUUAUAACAAUAUGUAAAAUACAUAAAAGAGAUAGAGCACUGCAGGCCAUCAAGGUCAAACAUUUGAAACAGAAUUAAACUAAAUUAUAAGGAGGAUUAAAUGGCUUUUGUCUUUGUAAAGAAAAGAAUAUGCAUGCAUUGAUUGCCUAUGUAGAAGGAUUAAUAAAUCUUUUGGCAUGGUCGAUUUGUAAUAAAUUACUGAAAAUGUGGGAUUACAAUGAAACUCUUAAAGUGUGCCACAUAAGUCAAGGAAGCCACCUAAGUCAUGGGAUGGGCAUGAGUGAGACACUCUGGAAUAAUCUUGAUGCUACUCUGGGACUGCCCUUGCAGGGUGGGACAUCAGCUUCACUAA